rnacentral:rRNA from 1 species
GACGAACGCUGGCGGCGUGCUUAACACAUGCGAGUCGAACGCUGAAGCACCAGCUUGCUGGUGUGGAUGAGUGGCGAACGGGUGAGUAAUACGUGAGUAACCUGCCCUUGACUCUGGGAUAAGCCCGGGAAACUGGGUCUAAUACUGGAUGCUACAUGUCACCGCAUGGUGGUGUGUGGAAAGGGUUUACUGGUCUUGGAUGGGCUCACGGCCUAUCAGCUUGUUGGUGAGGUAAUGGCUCACCAAGGCGACGACGGGUAGCCGGCCUGAGAGGGUGACCGGCCACACUGGGACUGAGACACGGCCCAGACUCCUACGGGAGGCAGCAGUGGGGAAUAUUGCACAAUGGGCGAAAGCCUGAUGCAGCGACGCCGCGUGAGGGAUGACGGCCUUCGGGUUGUAAACCUCUUUCAGCAGGGAAGAAGCCACAAGUGACGGUACCUGCAGAAGAAGCGCCGGCUAACUACGUG